rnacentral:rRNA from 1 species
UACGGGGGGGGCAAGCGUUGUUCGGAAUUACUGGGCGUAAAGGGCGCGUAGGUGGCCAACUAAGUCAGACGUGAAAUCCCUCGGCUUAACCGGGGAACUGCGUCUGAUACUGGAUGGCUUGAGUGGUGGGAGAGGGAUGCGGAAUUCCAGGUGUAGCGGUGAAAUGCGUAGAUAUCUGGAGGAACACCGGUGGCGAAGGCGGCAUCCUGGACCACGACUGACACUGAAACGCGAAAGCCAGGGGAGCAAACGGG